rnacentral:rRNA from 1 species
GAUGAACGCUAGCGGCAGGCCUAACACAUGCAAGUCGAGGGGUAGAACACUUCGGUGUUUGAGACCGGCGCACGGGUGCGUAACGCGUAUGCAAUCUACCUUGUACAGGGGAAUAGCCCAGAGAAAUUUGGAUUAAUGCCCCAUAGUAUAUAACCUUCGCAUGUUGGUUAUAUUAAAGUUCCAACGGUACAAGAUGAGCAUGCGCCCCAUUAGUUAGUUGGUAAGGUAACGACUUACCAAGACGAUGAUGGGUAGGGGUCCUGAGAGGGAGAUCCCCCACACUAGUACUGAGACACGGACCAGACUCCUACGGGAGGCAACAGUGAGGAAUAUUGGUCAAUGAGCGCAAGCCUGAACCAGCCAUGCCGCGUGCAGGAAGACGGUCCUAUGGAUUGUAAACUGCUUUUAUACAGGAAGAAACAACUCUACGUGUAGAGUCUUGACGGUACUGUAGGAAUAAGGAUCGGCUAACUCCGUGCCAGCCGCCGCUGUAACAC